GACGAACGCUGGCGGCAUGCUUAACACAUGCAAGUCGAACGAGAAUCAAUGGAUCAAGGAUUCGUCCAAGUGAAGUUGAGGACAGUGGCGGACGGGUGAGUAACGCGUGAGGAACCUGCCUUUCAGAGGGGGACAACAGUUGGAAACGACUGCUAAUACCGCAUAACGCGUAGAGGUCGCAUGGCCUUUACGCCAAAGAUUUAUCGCUGAAAGAUGGCCUCGCGUCUGAUUAGCUAGUUGGUGAGGUAACGGCCUACCAAGGCAAUGAUCAGUAGCCGACUUGAGAGAGUGACCGGCCACAUUGGGACUGAGACACGGCCCAA
rnacentral:rRNA from 1 species